rnacentral:rRNA from 1 species
CAAGGAGUCUAGCAUGUGCGCGAGUCAUUGGGACUAUAAUAAACCUAAAGGCGCAAUGAAAGUAAAAGUCCGCCUUGUGCAGACUUAGGGAGGAUGGGACCGUUCUCGGACGGACCUCGCACUCCCGGGGCGUCUCGUUCUCAUCGCGAGAAGAGGCGCACCUAGAGCGUACACGCUGGGACCCGAAAGAUGGUGAACUAUGCCUGGUCAGGACGAAGUCAGGGGAAACCCUGAUGGAGGUCCGUAGCGAUUCUGACGUGCAAAUCGAUCGUCGGAACUGGGUAUAGGGGCGAAAGACUAAUCGAAC